GCACCACCACCUCCCUCCCCCGUGACGCCAUCCUACUUCCCUCCCACCGUGCCACGCGCCCGCCACCAUGGAGAGCGCCGGCGGCUGAUCUACCAAGGCCGGCUUCCCCAAACCACUGCCGUCGCCUGAUGACCUCCUUUAGCGCUUCGAUGGUCGGAUCCAUAGCACCCUGCGCCGGUAACCUCGUUCUACACUGUGGUUGCCGGAUCCAGAGCCCUCCCCUGCCCCGUUGACCUCCUUCUGCCCCGACGUGGCUGGAUCAAGCGGACCUCCAGCUGCCGCCAGAUGCAGGCGCCCCGGCCGCCGCACCUUUGCCCCCAGGGGGCUCCUGCCCCCUACCUCGUCUGCCCACUAGGUUCUCUGCCGCGGGCCACCAUCCCCAUGGCAGGCCAGAGAGGAGGAUGAGGGUGCUCCACCACACACGGGUGGGGGCACGCGCGGGGCACAAAGGACGGCGAGCGGCACCGGCGCACUAGAAGGACAAGGAGGUGCUGCACCUCGCAUCUCCGGCCAGAUCCCAUCGCCGAUGGGAUCGGGCGUCGCUGGCGUGCAACUUCCAUUUGAUGUGCUCGCGAUUCAGAGCACUGGCGCCUCAUGCUGCUCGCAGGGUCUCACCGACGAAGGCUCGCGUUAUGCAGUUCUCUUGCGCAUCCGUUGCGGCUUCAGUGCUCGUGAUGCUCACUGGUGCCUUAUCCCUAUGUACUUUUUUCCAUGGAUCUCUCUGUAGGGUGAGAGUGCUUCAUGUAGUUCGAUAUCCGUAGUCGUGCAGUGCAGCAAAAUAGGGCGCGUGCGGGCAAAGUAGUGCGGCAUCGGUAGCCGAACAAAUCAGCUUAACACAAGGCGGUUCGCUGGACUCA